rnacentral:rRNA from 1 species
UUCGCCCUACGGGGCGCAGCAGUGGGGGAUAUUGCACAAUGGGGGAAACCCUGAUGCAGCGACACCGCGUGGGUGAAGAAGCGCUUCGGCGUGUAAAGCCCUAUCAGUGGGGAAGAAAAAGGACGGUACCCAAAGAAGAAGCACCGGCUAAAUACGUGCCAGCAGCCGCGGUAAUACGUAUGGCGCAAGCGUUAUCCGGAAUGACUGGGUGUAAAGGGAGCGUAGACGGGUGUACAAGUCUGAUGUGAAAGCCCACGGCUCACCUGUG